rnacentral:lncRNA from 1 species
AAAAACCAAAGAGAAGACUAAUACCCAGGUUUGAAAGAGGAUGUGCCAUGUCUGUGUGGGCCCAUCUGCAGUCCCCAUCAGAGUAGGCAGCCAGGCAAGGAGAACCUGUCUUGUCCCAGCACCUGCUGCCUGACCCUGCCAAGCCUCCCUCAGUUAGGAAUUCAUAAUUCACAAACUGUCAGCCCCUGGCAAGACCUGUGUGCCCUUCAACCACUGAAUGUCCCCAAAGCUUUUUUGGUAGGUGGCAGAAUUUAAAUUCAAUAAAGCUUGUCUUGAUUUGUGUGGAGUCCCAGAGCCUUCGGACCCAGGUAAAGCGAGAGCAGCCCCAUCCUGAGCUGUGAGUGGAAGAGACCAGCGCCCUGGUGAUUGAUGAUGUUGUUUGAUUUUUAAAGAAAGAAAUGCAUUUCAUUGUGUCCAGGUAUGUUUUUCUCACAAGAUGUAGCCUCUCUGAAGAAAUCUCUGUAAUACCUUUUCUUCCAAGCUAGACACCUCACAUCAGGAGUGCCUAUCUGGGCCAGGAUUGGUCUACUUCUGCCUCUUCAGUGUUCUUUCCCAAGCCCACCUAGUCAGGCGCCGCAGGGGCUGCCUCCUACUGUACCCUGCUCUGUGGCCCAGCAGAAGAACACUGUCACCAUCACUUACGAAGUAGGAAUCACAGCGCAGCAGUGACCACAUGACCAACAGCAGCAGAAAUGAAUGAAUCUGAACAGCAUCCCUGAAUCUUCACAAAAACAUACUCCAAUCCCUAAUUGUCUGCAUCUGGCAACCUCAGGGUCAGAACCGGGGAUUUAAGAGAAAAUGCUAAGAGCUCACACCCAUUUCGCAGCACUUGGGAGGCAGAUGCAGGGGGAUUACCAUGAGUUCGAAGCCAGUCUGAACUACAUCGUUUGUUUUAUGGUAGUCUGUGUAAAACAGAAUACUUACGCCACCAUUCACACUUCCUAUCUUACUUUCUAAAUAAUGGUUUUAAGAGAAACACAGUGUUUGCUUUACUCUGAAAGCGUGUUUUUAUUAAUUGGACACACACAGGUGAAUGUUUGAUCCCGGGGCUGUAACUGUAUUUGUGUCAGUGUCCAUGGAGAGGUGAUGCCUGGGAGGUCUUGACUUUCCUCCUAGUUGUCUUCUGCUUUCUCUGCACAGUUGUCAUAUAUCUACCUAAAUAUAAUCACAAAUGUAUGUCUCGUGAGUCUGUCUCUAAAAUGCGUCCGUAUGUUCAAUGUAGAUAUGGCCAAGUCACUUCUGUACAGAGCCUCAGAGGAGGCCUUUCUAGGGACAGCAGGCUAAGAUUUCUGGGAUCUGCCUUCCCACUCCUCUCCACCUUCUGCUGGGAGAUGCCUAGCAGCUAAGCUUGCUCUGACCUGGUGAUGUUCUUGAACAAAAAGAAACCAUGGGUCUACUUUUGUUACAUUCUCUUGUUCUUCAUAAUAACUUUACCAGAAGGAAAAAACAGAAAUGGUGAUAAAAAUAAAAGAUUGUGUCUUCUC